rnacentral:rRNA from 1 species
CGUAGGUGGCAAGCGUUGUCCGGAAUUACUGGGCGUAAAGGGUGCGUAGGCGGAUAUUUAAGUCAGAUGUGAAAUUCCGGGGCUUAACCUCGGAACUGCAUUUGAAACUGGGUAUCUAGAGUGCAGGAGAGGAAAGCGGAAUUCCUAGUGUAGCGGUGAAAUGCGUAGAUAUUAGGAAGAACACCAGUGGCGAAGGCGGCUUUCUGGACUGUAACUGACGCUGAGGCACGAAAGCGUGGGGAGCAAACAGGAUUAGAUACCCUGGUAGUCCACGCUGUAAACGAUGAGUGCUAGGUGUGGGGGGUUUCGACACCCUCCGUGCCGCAGUAAACGCAAUAAGCACUCCGCCUGGGGAGUACGGUCGCAAGACUA